UAUGAUAGAGGCGCGGAACAAGAUCAGUAGCACCCGGCAAAAACGGCGGGACCGUGGGUGCGAAAGGCUUUUCCGCCGAAGGGUAUCCGCCCUCCCGCAGCGGAUAUGCCUGGGCCGUCGGAGAACAUCCGCCGGACUGUCGCUCCUUUCGGGAGCGGAGAGCUGUCAG
rnacentral:ncRNA from 1 species